rnacentral:rRNA from 1 species
UACGUAGGGAGCGAGCGUUAUCCGGAUUUAUUGGGUGUAAAGGGUGCGUAGACGGGAAAAUAAGUUAGUUGUGAAAUCCCUCGGCUCAACUGAGGAACUGCAACUAAAACUAUUUUUCUUGAGUGCAGGAGAGGAAAGUGGAAUUCCUAGUGUAGCGGUGAAAUGCGUAGAUAUAUGGAAGAACACCAGUGGCGAAGGCGGCCGCCUGGCCUGUUGCUGACGCUGAGGCACGAAAGCGUGGGGAGCAAAUAGG